rnacentral:rRNA from 1 species
ACGCUCGACACCUACGGGGGCAGCAGUGGGGAAUAUUGCACAAUGGGGGAAACCCUGAUGCAGCGACGCCGCGUGAAGGAAGAAGGCCUUCGGGUUGUAAACUUCUGUCGUACGGGACGAUAGUGACGGUACCGUACAAGAAAGCCACGGCUAACUACGUGCCAACAGCCGCCGGUAAGUACUGAGCGGGCGUGGCGAAGGACG